rnacentral:rRNA from 1 species
UACGGAGGGUGCAAGCGUUGUUCGGAAUCAUUGGGCGUAAAGCGCGUGUAGGCGGCUUGGCAAGUCGGUUGUGAAAGCCCGGGGCCCAACCCCGGAACUGCAUCUGAAACUGCCUGGCUAGAGUCCCGGAGAGGAAGGCAGAAUUCCCGGUGUAGGGGUGAAAUCCGUAGAUAUCGGGAGGAAUACCAGCGGCGAAGGCGGCCUUCUGGACGGUGACUGACGCUGAGACGCGAAAGCUGGGGGAGCGAACGGG